rnacentral:rRNA from 1 species
AUUGAACGCUGGCGGCAGGCCUAACACAUGCAAGUCGAGCGGAGCGGCGGACGGGUGAUUAAUGCCUAGGAAUCUGCCUGGGAGUGGGGGAUAACGUCCGGAAACGGGCGCUAAUACCGCAUACUAUAAGAUGAGCUUAGGUCGGAUUAGCUAGUUGGUGGGGUAAAGGCUUACCAAGGCGACGAUCCGUAACUGGUCUGAGAGGAUGCUCAGUCACACUGGAACUGAGACACUGCCCAGACUCCUACGGGAGGCAGCAGUGGGGAAUAUUGGACAAUGGGCGAAAGUCUGAUCCAGCCAUGCCGCGUGUGUGAAGAAGGUUUUCGGAUUGUAAAGCACUGUAAGUUGGGAGGCGUUAUCAACAGAGUAAGCACCGGCUAACUUCGUGCCAGCCGCCGCGGUAAUAC